rfam:Myotis lucifugus cont2.45575, whole genome shotgun sequence.
GGUAGUUCUCGGGUGACGGACCCUGGAAUCAGGUUCUCUCCUCUCUGGUUCCAGGUGUGUCACCUGAGAACUGCA